rnacentral:lncRNA from 1 species
AGGUUAAAGCACAGCCUUUGGAUCUCCAACAGAGACUCACAACCACAGAAGCGGGAUACAAUGGUUUUGUAUAAUGUUAGAGGAUUCAUUCUUGUGAUCGAUCAACCUUCAAUUUAAUCAUGAACUGCAAACCCCAAUGAGCGUGAAGAAAUUAACAGUAAAAGUGUAGAUUAAAAAUCCAUAAUUGUCCAAAAAUAUUCUCAUAAUCCUCUAAUAGAUGGGAAAAAUAAUCAAUGUAACAGAAAACAAAGAUACUGAAGCUGGAGCAAAUUUCAGACAAUAGUUAACCAGUUAUCCAAGAAAACAUGACAAGUCUACAAGGUUUUAUUAAACUUCACAACCAUCAGCUGCACCAACUGGUAGGUGAAGUAUACAAAAUUUAACAAAUUUACUCCCUGAAAAUGGUGCAAAAGUCCCUGUCAAACGCUGUCUUUGUUGAAGGCUUCUUGAAAUAAAGGCAGAUUGGAUUUCAAAUCGUAAAAAGACGUAGCAUUACUACAUAAAAUUAUCGAAAUAAAUAAAACAUUACAGUUAUGGUGAAUAAAAGUCAGCAUUUAAAUCGAUCGCUCGGGUUUCCUUAAUUAUAAGUAGACAAAUGAGCUAUAUAGUGUUGUUGCAAUCCAGAAGUAACUCCAAGUCAGUUCCGAACAUUGACAAACAGAAAGUGCUUCUUCUACUGUCAAUCCUCAUCUUUCACAAUCACCUACAACAUGAACAAGAAAGAAAGAAAAAUUUCCUUUAGUUGUCAUACCUAAAAUAGUAAAAAUACCUAUAAGCACAAAGCAUAGACGAAUGAAAUUGUUCAUAACAAAAUUGAGCCGAAAUUCAGAUUCUAUUCUUCACAACCGACGAUUUGAAUUAGAUUUCAGUUUUCUCCUAAUGCUGACGUCCAACCAGAGGAAUAAUGACGUAAGGAGACGCACACAACAACAAUAAACAAGAGGCAGCAGGUAAAUCCACCGAUCCUUCAUAACUAACGUAAAUCAUGGUAUACUUAGCAUACGCCUUCCUCGUCCAAUGUGUUCUACAGAGACCGUGUUACUCUUUAGAAAAAUGAGCCUCAUUAUGUCUACACAAACAUGUCCUAACCAUUUAAACUAUCGUUAUGCUAUCCCCAAUCUGCUUCACCUCCACUGGUUUUGUAAAUUAUCUUUUAACCAGAAUAGGUAGAGAUAUUGUCCCGUGAAAGAUGAUCCUGGAUUUGUGCAUAAGCCAACACAAGGAAAGAAAAUAUAGAUGCACUUGCGCAAGUCACUCUUAAAGAGACCAAUUACCAAUGUCUUUUUCUUUAACCAACAACUUAUAAAUGAUACAUUCUAGAUA